UCAGGUUCACAUGACGUACACGUUACACAUAUGCAUGCUGCUUCUGUAUGUAACGUUCCGCUUCCUAAUAUACCCUUACAUUAAUUGCUGCUGAGCCGAGCUCAUAACGCGCGCGCCGUCGCAAACACGUCGCCACCUAUCCGCCUUCGCUUAAGGUUGCACAUACGUACGUUGACAUUAUGGGCCGGUUGUGCCUCCAUGCCCGCCGCCUACGAGACCUCGUUCUCGCAAAAGAAGCAUCCAUUUGAUCUAAGUUGUCCUAAACGAAUAUGGUAUAUGAUAUGAAGACUGUCCUGUUUUUACACUUGCUGCUGCGAGAAUAGGAGAUCCUCAUGCGACCGUGAAGGCGUUUAGGUGGGGCUCGCUCGCUCCGAUGAGAGAUUCAUGUACCAUCAAGCAAGUACCCCGUGAUGACACCUCGACGCAGCAGAUCCCCGGGGGGCUGAAUGCCCCCAGCCAGCAGCCCACUGCAUGUACAUCACGGCUGCACAUUUUCCUAUCACCAAUCGGACAUAUACCAUCACGCAUGAAUACUACGAAGAUGACAAGAUGAAGCUGUUCGCCCCUGACGUGCGGGUGCGGUCCCUAUGGCAUAAAACGGGGGGUAACCCCCCCUUAAUUAAGCGUAACCCUGGGUGUAGGGUUAGGGGUUACCCAUGUGGCUAUGUACGAAGGGAGGUGGGUAACCUAACCCCGGGGUAGGGGUAACCCCUUACCGAGGGGUAACAAAGGGGUCGGGGUAAUACACUACUGAUGGGUAACAGACAGGGUAACCCGUGUUUACAUUCACCUGCACCUGUCUCGCCUGUCUACACACGCAAACAUACAUACACAGGCAGGCGGCUGGCAGAAGUUAAGGCCUGACUUCUGCUCCCAGUCGAUCCAGUCGACCCGGGUUCAAAUCCGCCUGCCAGCUCCUCGGGUGUUUGAGGAGUGAUAAAAUGGGAGGUGGCCCCCCAUCAUAUGGACGGUGUAGGACGUGAUAAUAUCAACUUGCGAGCUGACCAGGAACUAAGUUGAUGCGCCGUUGAUCCGCUAGAUUUGGUUGGAUGCUGGUGGUGAGUUGCCGAACCCAACGAAUACAUUCUGAAGUCGGAUGGGGUGACGGAUUAGGGUGCCCCUCUAGCAGGGGAGAGCAGGGACUGCCCCGGGAAAGGGGGCCGCUGGCGAAGUUAACCACCCUGUAACAACAUACAUACAUGUCUUCACCAAUCACUUGUGGACCCAAUUAUCAACAUUGACGCACCAAAACAUGCCUUGUGUAGAAACCUAGACCUAAGGAUAAGGCACACAGCUGCAGCCUAGAUGCAAGGAGGAGGACGAAGAGGCGUACAUAGGCAGAGCAAAUUGGGGACCGCCGCCAGCGAGAAGCCGCCAGUGAAGCCAAUAAAUAUUCCUACCAAAAGGUCCAGGCACUUACCGCCGCUCCGGACCCAAGACCUAAAACUUGCGGACCAGCCAACGGGCGGCAAUGUAAGCUUACAUUACCUUAAGGUCGGCCAGUAGCUUCAGUGCCCCGUCCCGACCUGCUACUUCCAGCUCUACGCACGACCUAUGCAACACUAUCCAGAGUCUGCUCGUUUUCAGAGCAGGCUCUCCUAAGAGCGUCGAAGGUCUUGGGCGGGAGAUCCGACACCCCGAACACGGUCACACCGAUGUUUUGCAACCCAAGUCCGAGCAAUUCUGUUGCAAUGGUGUCAAUGCAAUGGUGUCAACAGGCGGAACAAAC
rnacentral:lncRNA from 1 species